UGGGGAAUAUUGCACAAUGGGCGCAAGCCUGAUGCAGCCAUGCCGCGUGUAUGAAGAAGGCCUUCGGGUUGUAAAGUACUUUCAGUCGGGAGGAAGGUGUCAAGGUUAAUAACCUUGGCAAUUGACGUUACCGACAGAAGAAGCACCGGCUAACUACGUGCCAGCAGCCGCGGUAAUACGUAGGUGGCAAGCGUUGUCCGGAUUUAUUGGGCGUAAAGCGAGCGCAGGCGGUUUCUUAAGUCUGAUGUGAAAGCCCCCGGCUCAACCGGGGAGGGUCAUUGGAAACUGGGAGACUUGAGUGCAGAAGAGGAGAGUGGAAUUCCAUGUGUAGCGGUGAAAUGCGUAGAUAUAUGGAGGAACACCAGUGGCGAAGGCGGCUCUCUGGUCUGUAACUGACGCUGAGGCUCGAAAGCGUGGGGAGCAAACAGG
rnacentral:rRNA from 1 species